UGGGAUGUCGCCAAGUGGCUAAGGCAUCGGAUUUUGGUUCCGACAUUCGAAGGUUCGAGUCCUUCCAUCCCAGCCA
rnacentral:tRNA from 1 species